rnacentral:rRNA from 1 species
GAUGAACGCUGGCGGCGUGCCUAAUACAUGCAAGUCGAGCGAACAGACUAUGAGCUUGCUCCUCUGACGUUAGCGGCUGACGUGUGAGUAACACGUUAAUAAGCUACCUAUAAGACUGGGAUAACGUGGUGAAACCGGAGCUAAUACCGUAUAAUAGAUUAAACCGCAUUGUUCAAUAGUAAUAGACGGUUUUGCUGACUCGUAUAGAUACAUCCGAGCCCAAUUAGCUAGUUGGUAAGGUAACGGCUUACCAAGGCAACGAUGCGUAGCCGACCUGAGAGGGUGAUCGGCCACCCUGGAACGGAGCCACGGUCCAGACUCCUACGGGAGGCAGCAGUAGGGAAUCUUCGGCAAUGGGCGAAAGCCUGACGGAGAAACGCCGCGUGAGUGAUGAAGGUCUUCGGAUCGUAAGCCUCUGUUAUUAGGGAAGAACAAAUGUGUAAGUAAAUAUGCACGUCUUGACGGUACCUAAUCAGAAAGCCACGGCUAACUACGUG